ensembl:snRNA U2 U2 spliceosomal RNA
AUUGCUUCUCGGCCUUUUGGCUAAGAUCAAGUGAAGUGUCUAUGCCUAUACAUAUAUAUAUAUACACAUAUAUGUCUGUCUGUAUACAACUAUAUGUUUAUACACACAUAUGUAUAUAUACAUGUGUGUUUAUAUACACAUACAUAUAUGUGUAUUUGUAUAAAUAUAUACUUACACACAUAUGCAUAUGUGUU